GACGAACGCUGGCGGCGUGCUUAACACAUGCAAGUCGAACGGAAGUAGCAAUACUUCAGUGGCGCACGGGUGAGGAACACGUAGCUCAUCUGCCCUCAAGUGUGGGAUAACGCUCCGAAAGGAGUGCUAAUACCGCAUAAGCUCCCGGAUUGCAGAGGUCUGGGAGAAAAGGAGUAAUUCGCUUGAGGAGGAGGCUGCGGCCCAUCAGGUAGUUGGUGCGGUAACGGCGCACCAAGCCGACGACGGGUAGGGGACCUGAGAGGGUCGACCCCC
rnacentral:rRNA from 1 species